GGGAAGCCUUCCUCUUUCCUUCGGUGAAGACCCUCCGCAAGUUGCUCACAAUUUCUCCGCCGAUUCCUCGCCGGAAAGGUCGCCGGAGCACGCCGUCGGACCGAGGGGGACAAUCUAUUGGACGAGAGGACGCUGAGCGGAGUCCUGCGCAUUCCGGUUCAUAGAUCGCCGUGAGGACGGUGAUUAGUUUGUCUGAGUUUUCAACAAAGUAGUUGCAGGAUGCUUAGAUUUGGAUGGGAUGGGCGCAGAG